rnacentral:rRNA from 1 species
AGAAUCAACGCUGGCGGCGUGCCUAACACAUGCAAGUCGCACGAGAAAAGGACUUCGGUCCUGAGUACAGUGGCGCACGGGUGAGUAACACGUGAAUCAUCUACCUUCGAGUGGGGAAUAACUGAGAGAAAUCUUAGCUAAUACCGCAUAAUACCCACGGGUCAAAGCAGCAAUGCGCUUGAAGAGGAGUUCGCGGCAGAUUAGUUAGUUGGCGGGGUAAUGGCCCACCAAGACGAUGAUCUGUA